rnacentral:rRNA from 1 species
UACGAAGGGGGCUAGCGUUGCUCGGAAUCACUGGGCGUAAAGGGUGCGUAGGCGGGUCUUUAAGUCAGGGGUGAAAUCCUGGAGCUCAACUCCAGAACUGCCUUUGAUACUGAGGAUCUUGAGUACGGGAGAGGUGAGUGGAACUGCGAGUGUAGAGGUGAAAUUCGUAGAUAUUCGGAAGAACACCAGUGGCGAAGGCGGCUUACUGGACACGUAUUGACGCUGAGGUACGAAAGCGUGGGGAGCAAACAGG